rnacentral:rRNA from 1 species
UAGCUUUAGCUAGGUAUUCGGAAACUGCGGAUGGCUCCAUAUACUAGUGAGAACCUACCUACUCAGUCAACUACAAGGCUAACCUUGCCAACAGCAAGGCUAAUACUUGACUAACCAGCUACCUUAGGGUAGCAGCGUAAGGUCUAGCUUGACAGCUACCUUACAUAGUAAGCUACUAGCUUACUGGUUGACCUGUAAGGGCUAAGGGCUACUACUAGUAGUAGCUCGACCUAAGGCUGAGUAGAGUGCUCUCUAAGCCAUUAGCUGGUAGUAAGGGUAGCGUCCUUACUAGGCGACCAUGGCUACGGGGAAUCAGCGUUCGAUUCCGGAGAGAAAGCCUGAGACACGGCUAUCACAUCUAAGGAAGGCAGCAGGCGCGCAAAUUGCCCAAUGCAGACUCUGCGAGGCAGUGAACAGCUAUACUAGCCUACAUACCUAGUAUGUAGGGAGGCUAAUGCCUUAGAAUGAAUGCUGCUUAGUAAACAGCAUGAUAAGCUAGUAGAGGAUCAGUCUGGUGCCAGCACCCGCGGUAACUCCAGCUCUGCAAGCCUAUGAUAAUACUGUUGUCUUUAAAACGUCCGUAGCUAGCUUAAGCUAGUUGACUGCUAGUCUGUAGUAUAGGCUAGCUAGUAUUGCCUUUAGCUAGGUAGUGCUAGCUAGACUAACUACCUAGGUGGCUAGCUAUAGCUAAGGCUGUAGCUAGCUGUAGGCUAGUAGUCUACUAGUGUAGCGACAUCGCUAGUAAACAGGCAUGCUCAAGGUUAGCUAAAGGGGUUUCCCUAUAGCUAGAACUACAUAGAGCGACACGUCAAUAUAGCUGGCUACUAGCUUGUCUAGUAGCCGGCGUGUACAAUGAAGGGGUCUCAGGCUAGGAGUAUUAGUAGGCUAGGGGUGAAAUCCAGUGACCCUACUAAGACUACAUGAGGCGAAAGCGCCUAGCUAGAGCCUACUUGUCGGCGAUGGACGAGAGUGAAGGGCGCGAAGAUGAUUAGAUACCGUUGUAGUCUUCACUGUAAACUAUGCCAGCUUGGCUAGGUAGCUUCACCUAGUUGAAGGCUACCUAGCCAUAGGGAAACUAGUAAGCUCUUCGGCUAGAGGGGUAGUACUGUCGCAAGGCAGAAACUUAAAGGAAUUGACGGAAAAGCACCACCAGGCGUGGAGUCUGCGGCUUAAUUCGACUCAACACGGGGAACCUUACCAGGGCAGGACACUAAGUGGAUUGUCAGCCUACAGGGCUUACAUGAUAUUGUGGAAAGUGGUGCAUGGCCAUUCUUAGUUCGUGAGGCGACUUGUCUCCUUAAUUGAGGUAACGAGCGAGACCCUGAAGGCUAGUUGAGCCUAGCUAGCUAGUCUAGCUAGUGUGCUACCUAGUAGCCGCUCCUAGCCUGAUUACUAGCGCCUAGCUAGUCGAGACAGGACAAUAAUAGGUCUGUUAUGCCCUUAGAUGGCCUGGGACGCACGCGUACUACACUGACACUCGCAGCCAGUAUAGUAGCUACUAGCUAUCUAGCUAGUAGCUAAGCUAUGCCGUAAGGCAUUGCGAAGCUGCAAAGGGUGUCUAGGUAAGGAUUGCUGCCUGCAAGGGCAGCAUCAAUGAGGAAUGCCUUGUAAGUGCCUUUCAGCAUAAGGCUCUGAAUACGUCCCUGCUUUUUGUACACACCGCCCGUCGCAUCAAGGAACUCAACUAGGGCAAUGAGCCUGCUGGACGCAAGGAAAGCAGGCAAAUAG